AAUGGAGAUAAACAGCUAUAUAGAAAUGAUCAAUACAAACAGUGAAUUCAACAUUUGGAGAAUUUAAAAGGUCAUAAGAUAAAGAGAUUUGUCCUACUGAAACAUUUGAUAAUGGUGAUUGAAUCGAGUAUAAUGCUGAUUCAGUAGACUUUAAUUCCUUCAGAUCUUAUCUUGGUACAUUUCAUGGUUCUUUCAGAUUUUUCAUACCACAAAUCAAGCAUUUUUCAACCACUAAUCCAGCACUUUUUCUCAAUUUUCCAGGUGCAUUUUAAGUCCAAACUUGUCAAUACUAAAUCUACCCAGGUAAUCUGGCCUUAUCAGUAGAUACAACACUAAAACUACCCAGGUAAUCUGGCCUUAUCAGUAGAUACAGCACUAAAACUACCCAGGUAAUCUGGCCUUAUCAGUAGAUACAACACCAAAACUACCCAGGUAAUCUGGCCUUAUCAGUAGAUACAACACCAAAAACUACCCAGGUAAUCUGGCCUUAUCAGUAGAUACAACACUAAAACUACCCAGGUAAUCUGGCCUUAUCAGUAGAUACAGCACUAAAACUACCCAGGUAAUCUGGCCUUAUCAGUAGAUACAACACUAAAACUACCCAGGUAAUCUGGCCUUAUCAGUAGAUACAGCACUAAAACUACCCAGGUAAUCUGGCCUUAUCAGUAGAUACAACACCAAAACUACCCAGGUAAUCUGGCCUUAUCAGUAGAUACAACACCAAAAACUACCCAGGUAAUCUGGCCUUAUCAGUAGAUACAACACUAAAACUACCCAGGUAAUCCGGCCUUAUCAGUAGAUACAGCACUAAAACUACCCAGGUAAUCUGGCUGGCUGAGGGGGAAGGUGGGGGAUGAUUGAGGCAUAACAUUGCAGAAAAAUACAGCUUGCCAUCAAACAAUCUU